UGCCCAUUUCCUGAAGGGCUUGGGAUGC
rnacentral:piRNA from 1 species